rnacentral:pre_miRNA from 1 species
UCUAUACUCCCUCCGUCCAACAAAAGAUGUCUCAAGUUUGUCAAAAUUUGGAUGUAUCUAGACAUGACUUAGUGUAUAGAUGCAUUCAAAUUUGGUCAAAGUUGAGACAUCCUUUGUUGGACGGAGGGAGUAUUUC